AACGAACGCUGGCGGCAUGCCUAACACAUGCAAGUCGAACGAGACCUUCGGGUCUAGUGGCGCACGGGUGCGUAACGCGUGGGAACCUGCCCUUAGGUUCGGAAUAACUCCCCGAAAGGGUGCUAAUACCGGAUAAUGUCUUCGGACCAAAGAUUUAUCGCCUUUGGAUGGGCCCGCGUUGGAUUAGCUAGUUGGUAGGGUAAAAGCCUACCAAGGCGACGAUCCAUAGCUGGUCUGAGAGGAUGAUCAGCCACACUGGGACUGAGACACGGCCCAGACUCCUACGGGAGGCAGCAGUGGGGAAUAUUGGACAAUGGGCGCAAGCCUGAUCCAGCCAUACCGCGUGGGUGAAGAAGGCCUUCGGGUUGUAAAGCCCUUUUGUUGGGAAAGAAAAGCAGCAGGUUAAUACCCCGCUGUUCUGACGGUACCCAAAGAAUAAGCACCGGCUAACUUCGUG
rnacentral:rRNA from 1 species